GCCACGGUGGUCUAGCGGUUAGAAUGCUGGCCUUGUAAUCCUGGGGUCUCGGGUUCGAUUCUCGGCGGUGCCC
rnacentral:tRNA from 1 species